AUAUACAAUGAAUGCGUAAUGGUUUAGAUGUCGAGUGAUGUGUAUAAU
rnacentral:guide_RNA from 1 species